GAGACAGCAGCCGCCACGGUAAGACAGAGGAUGCAAGCGUUAUCCGGAAUGAUUGGGCGUAAAGCGUCUGUAGGUGGCUUUUCAAGUCCGCCGUCAAAUCCCAGGGCUCAACCCUGGACAGGCGGUGGAAACUACCAAGCUGGAGUACGGUAGUGGCAGAGGGAAUUUCCGGUGGAGCGGUGAAAUGCGUUGAGAUCGGAAGGAACAUCUGUGGCGAAGGCGACUAUCUGGGCCAACACUGACACUGAGGCACGAAAGCGUGGGGAGCAAACAGGAUUAGAUACCCGUGUAGUCCCUGUCUCUUAUAC
rnacentral:rRNA from 1 species